AAAGACCCCGUGAACCUUUACUAUAGCUUGACACUGAACAUUGAGCCUUGAUGUGUAGGAUAGGUGGGAGGCUUUGAAGUGUGGACGCCAGUCUGCAUGGAGCCGACCUUGAAAUACCACCCUUUAAUGUUUGAUGUUCUAACGUGGGCCCCUUACCGGGGUUGCGGACAGUGUCUGGUGGGUAGUUUGACUGGGGCGGUCUCCUCCUAAAGAGUAACGGAGGAGCACGAAGGUUGGCUAAUCCUGG
rnacentral:rRNA from 1 species